UACGGAGGAGGCAAGCGUUAUCCGGAAUUAUUGGGCGUAAAGCGUUCGCAGGCGGCGAUUCAAGUCUGCGGUGAAAGACUGGGGCUUAACCCUGGAAAGGCCGUGGAAACUGAAUAGCUAGAGUGCAGUAGGGGUAGAGGGAAUUCCCGGUGUAGCGGUGAAAUGCGUAGAUAUCAAGAGGAACACCUGAGGUGAAGACGGGUUGCUGGGCUGACACUGACGCUGAGGCGCGAAAGCUAGGGUAGCAAACGGG
rnacentral:rRNA from 1 species